UUUUUUUUUUCACUGAAUCUUCUUUAGAUGGUAACCAAUUACAUCCUUUCAGGCAGGAAACAACUCAGUCAUAAGUGAUUCUACAUGACUUUUGUCUGGAGAAAGUGUUGUGGUAGCCAUUGGCUACUGGAAAUGAAGUUGUGUGCAGUGAUAAUAGAUUUGUUGGGUUCAUAAGCUCUUUCACCUCUUGGAAAGAAAGAGAUAGGUGAAAGUAAGUACUCCAGAUCUCCAGAUGUCUUGACACCAUAUUACAUCAGAUGAGUGAUGGGCUAGAAUUAUUUUUCAGUGAUGGUCUUUGCAGCAGCAAACAUCAAGUUGUCCCAGAUGCUAUCCCUUUAUACUCCUUUGGAGCUCUUCUAAAAAAAUUAAUCUCCUCUCUCUAGAACGGGAGACGUCUGAGGUGUUGAUUAAGAAACUAAAAGGAAGGAUUCCUCACUAUGUCUGAAUGCUCCUUCUCAUCAUUUAAAAGAAGUCAGAGGUAAAUACUACAUGUCUACCUGUUUACUUACAGGUGUUUGAAACUUCCCUUUCUCUUUAGAGUGUUGCAAUGAGAAGCCAUAACAAAAUAAAACUCGGGGAAAAAAAACAAAAACGACAGUGUAAGUAGUACUAUUUUAGAUGACAUUAGAGUACAGGGCAAGGGAAUGAAAUAAAUAAAGUUUGAGGACUGAAAAUCUGAACCUCUCCUUGCAGGCUGUGUGAGUCCAGGAACUAAUAAACAUCUUUUGAUCAUCUGGACACCAGGAAAGUUCAUGCAUAACCUGAAGGUUCAUAAAUUAUAAAAGAUAUUUUCUUAAGCUGAUUUUAAUGAAGAACAAGAGCUUUUAUAGGUUAGACUUUGAAUGGGAAAAGGUUAAUGUAGACAGUAAUUACUGAUCUGUGAAUACUGCUGGAAAUACUGUACUAUUCUGCAUGCUUAUUUGGGCUACUUCUAUGUAGGAAAAUAAUUCAACGCUUUUAUGGAAUCACUAUAAUAUUCAGAAACACAAACACAUGUUUGCUGGGUCUGGUGGUUAUGUAAGGAGGCACUUAAAAUAAUCCAGAAGAAUGGUGAAAAGGGCUUUUUCCAUUCUUCAUAAAUGUCAGCACUGUAAAAGGGGAUACGAAUAUAAAAAAUUUGUUUAAUGCAAUUCUUUGCUGCAAGUGGUAGAUUUCUACCUUCAGAAAGUGUCAGCUUUGUAGAAAAGGCUCUGAGAGACCUUGGGGACAAUCAGCUGACAUCAAGUCUGUAGUGUGCCCUUGCAGCAAUGAGGCCAGUUUUACUUGAGCAGUAUUAUAAGGAGCAUAGGAAGCAGCUAAAGAGAAAAUCUUUCUUGAUGGAUGAUGGCUAUAUUUAAAUAUCAUGCACUGAUCAACAAGUCUUCUUAAAAAAGUAGUGGUCUGUCCAUAGAAUAUUGAUCCAGUAGCAAGAUAAUUGUUGACUAAUUUCUCGUUUUCUUCUAGUUGAUAAUAAUACAGAAAAUUCAGUGCACCUGAGUGCAAUAUGAGCAUCUUUAUUGAAUUCAUUCUUCAUGCAAGUCCUUCUAAAAAUCAAAAGUGUGUUCUAUACAGUGUCAUAUUACUGAGGUGUAUUUGGAGAAAUUAUUAAGUGGGAAAAGUAUGAUUUUUUUCUAUGCUAUACCCCUACUCAUGUUUGUUGAAAUCUAAAAUGAAUGUAAUCUCAAUGUUAAGAAAAUUAUGUAUCUAAAUUAUAUGUGUACUUAAUAUUACUUGAAGCGAUGAGCCUAGUUUAAGGAAAAGUUUUCUUCAGGUUUAACCAUUACACUGAACCAGAAGCAUGAUUCAGAACCUUUAAUCACUGAGCAUUCUCUGGUUUUGUAAAGAUUUUAAAUUUCAAGGUUAGUCACCUUGUACAAGCGACACACUGCCACGUGAUUUGCCAUUGUUUUUACAGAAGCUGCAGGCAAGAAUCAGUUUUUCAUGUUUUGUCAGGCAGCUGCAGUUCCACAUCCCAAUACCUGCUGUCUUAACCACGCCUCUACUCCCUUGUCCACCAAUAUAGUAUCACACAGUUGUCCCAUUUUAAGGAAAGUAAAGGAAAUACUGUAUAACACCCUACUUUUAUUCUAAUCCCAAUGAUUUUAGGAUGACAGGGAAAAGGCCCAUUUGCAUAGCAGCAGCUAUUUCAUUUGUGUUUUUACUUAACUUGCUUAGAACUUUUAAAGUGAACAUCAGUAACUGUGUUGAUUUGUUACGGAAGAAACAGCAUAGAAUUGUGCUAACUGAUGAUCAUGAAUAUUCAUAAGGUAAAGCUGGAUAAUAAAGUUUGAGUGCAAGUGGUGAAGAACUGGGAGAAGAUAAUAAAACAGGACAUUACUGACUUUUCUCAGUACUCAAUCCUAAAAAGCACUAAUACAAGGCGCUUAGGUCCUUAGAUAUAGAACUAUAAAACUUUGAGAAACUUUAAAGAAAUAUACGUAUUUAACUACCUAUAGACAUAAGAAUAGAUGAUGGUUGCUGCAUUCUCUAUGCUACUGAUUGUGAUUUCCUGCUUUAUAAAAAGCCUGCUCAAACUUUCAGCACAGGCAGAACAGAGUAGGGGCACUAUAGAAAGUGCACUUUUAAUAGAGUUUCUUGGAGAAAUCGUGGUGGUGAGUGAUAAGUGCCAAAAGAGAGGAGGGUAUGGGUGGAACAUAGUGGAAGUCUAAUUAAAAUUCUGUGGAUUUUUAUUGGAAGAUCCUUGCUUUGCCAGAGCAAUAGUUGCUCUCAGUGCCUGAUAUUCUCUGGGCUUUCUUUGUUGCCUUUCUUAAUGCUCUCUUUGGUUCAAGUCUAGGUGACUGUUUGGAAAGACAGAAUCUUGAUUUGGCCCAAACAGUCUGAUGUGCUCCUUUGCAAAAUCAGCUAUACCUGGAGAUUAUUUUGCUUGAGUUCCCUGCAACUACAAGAAAAUUUUUAGCUACCUCUGGACAAAUAACUUGUCCCAUCCCCGUUCAGAGGAAAACUGCAUUUUUUUUUCUAUGAGAAUGUGUCCCCUCUGGGCCAUAGGAAAAGUCUUUUCAAUUGGUAGGGAAUGCUGACUGAAAACUGGAAGCUCUGUUAAAAUUGCCAAGCUUUGACAUUUGUUCUUUAUUCUACAUUGAGAUGAAUUAAGACCAUGCAAAUUAUGUUUGUGAAAACAUCACAAAAAGCAACAAUGAUAUAGCUGCUGGGAGCUCGAGGUUUGAGAUGCUGUGCUUCCUGAUUCAUUUACACGUUGGGCAGCGUUCCAAAUCACUUUUCAUUUGUUUGAUUGAUAUUUUAAGUGUUGCAAAUGAAGCAGAAUACCAAUAUCUUAGUGAUUAGGAUUUCCACCAGAGGCAUGGGAGACAGAUAUUUGUCACUUUCCUGUGUAAAUACUUGCUGUGGCUGGGAGUCCCCAUCAUUCCAGUGCAGUUUUGCUCCGUGUAACACGGUAUGCUUCUAAACACAAAUGCUUCAGAGGAUUGUUAUCGUUUAAUCCCAGCAGGCAGCUCAGGACCAUGCAUCUCACUCUCCUCAGAUAAGAUGGGAGAGAGCAUCAGGAAAGUGAAAGCAGGAGAACUCGUGGGUUGAAAGAACAACUGCCCACUAAGUAAAGCAAAAACCAUGUGAGCAGGUAAAGCCAACGAGGAAUUCAUUCACUAUUUCCCAUCAGAGGCAGCUGUUCAGUCCCUCCCAAAAGACUAGGGCUCAGCAUGCAUAGUGAUUUCCUGGGAAGACAAAUGCCAUCAGCUGCGAUAUUCCACCUUCCUUCUUCUUUCCCUCAGCUGUUACUGCUGAUCAUGAAGCCCUACGGUAUGAGAUAUCCCUUUGGUCAGUCUGGAUCAGCUGUCCACAUCCCCUCCCAGCUCUCUGUGCAUCCGUAUUUUUUUAAAAAACCUUGAUUUGGAAAAAGUAUCAGUGUAUUGUAAUAUUGAAGAGCAGUACAGCUUACCAUGAGCGCUUUGGAAAGCUUUACAGACAGGCACUGAACCUUUCAGCAGGAAGAUAUUGGGAAUGGUUUUGAUUACACUGCCCCGUACUGCAAAACAUACAAGGAGGGGGGAGUUCAUUUAAGAUGGAAUGAAGAUUGAACUACCAUGUAUCUUUUAACAUGCUACAAAUUAAGAACUGAACUUAUUUACUUCAGUGUGCAAGGGACACUGCGUGUCUUUGCAAACACAUAGAAACUUGAUGUGCCUGCAAGCAAACGUUUGGAAGGUAAGAAUAAUGAUACCAAUUCACUCCUAUAGACUGUAGACAUAAUUGAAUCCUCUGAGAAAUUAAGUAUACAAACACUGACAUAUAAAAAGCUAGAUAGAUUUGCUUGAAUCAGGACAGCCAACACAUAAAAAACAGCAGUAUCUAUCUACUUAAAGGGAGAGUGUUAGAAAGAGAGAAUCCAAUCAACAUAAAAGACAUGAGAUAAUACAAGAGUGACCUUUUCAAGUUAAGUUCCUGUAUUUUUCCUAAAUUAUUCUUUUUAUCAAAUGUUUCUAAUAAGUCCAUUCACCCAGACUAGAUGGGCUACUCUAGCAGUAAGAUGUUAUCCCCUGUGCUGUGACAAAGUCAGAAUGUAGACCUGAUGAAAUUGGCAGUAUCUCAUUUAGCUCAUGUUUGGAGAAAGAGAAGGUUAAAUACCAGUGUGUAGAGGCUUCCAUGGUGCAGUCUCAAUUUGGUCCCUCUUUUAUGACUCUUUUUCAUAUAUGCAACUUUGUGCUUUUUGUCAAAGAAUAUUUUGGUAACAGUAAUUAUCCAUUAGAAGAUUUAUCUCUGCUUCACAUUCAAGAGCUUUCAUGGCAUCCGUAGUUGAAUAAUUUUGAUACUGAUGGCUACUUGGUGGUUUUGGACUGAGUAAUUAUACAUCCACAGGGAGAGAAAGGCAUGCUGCCAAAGCAUUUCAAGUGCUAUCUCAGCAAUGCAAAAGACUUGGCAUUUCCCUCUGUCAUUUUUCAUUCUCAAAGUGCUAUAAACAUAUGCUGAAGAAAAUAUUUCAAGUACCUGGGAAGAGUAGCCCAGUACACUAUCAGCUCAACUCUUCUGGACAUUCUUAUUUAUUUUGCUAAAUGAAGGCAUCUUUAGAAACUAGUUAUCACAGAAGGAAUUAUUAUCCUUUUCGUUACUGUUGCACAGAUGUACUGUAUUUCUCCAUCGUCUCUUUUUUAGUAAUCAGAAUAAGACAGGUAAUCCUCCUGCUCUUUCCCCACUAGGUCACAUAGCAGAUACUGUAUGAACUGCUAUAUUUUCUGAGAACAAAUUUUGAAAUCUGGUCUUCAGUUUUCGGUUUUCUUAAUCUGUCCUCAUGUUUAAUCCAGGGAACAGGAUGAGGAAAGAGAUGAGUAUACUGUUGCAGUUUAGUACCAGUGUUCCCAUCGACUCGGUAAGUUACUGAAUUCCUGGAAUAGCCAUGCUUUACAUAUAUCCUCCACCAUCUGGAGUGUGGGUGGAAGGCAUGCUUGAACUAAAGGUGUUAAAAUUACACUAUUAAUGGUUUUGGAUGAUGUUGUCCUUAGGAGAACAAAAAGAACUUCAGCCAGUUAAUUAUUUUAUCUGCAGAAAGUAACAAAGGGACUUAAUUCAGCAGGAGUGCGGGUGUUCAUGUGUGUGUGCAUCUAUGUAGUCACAGAAAAAGAAUGCUUCAUUACAAUGAUAACAGGGGUGAUUUGAAUUAUUUGUUUGGUAUCUUUAUUUUUCCAUGUUUGCCGAGACAGACAAUUUCUCAGCUUCCUGUCAUGCUUCCUUCACUGAUCCAGACACUGGAGCAGUCUGUAAAAGGAUUCUACGGUUUACAGUCUUUUCAUUUCGUAAUUAUUUUACUUAGAAAUCAUUUUUAAGAUAAAAAUAAAUUAUUUUUUUACAGAUGUUUUCUGAAUCUGAAUUCUACAACAUGGUGUGGAUUCAGCAAGAAAUGUCCCGAGAAAUGGUGGAUCAGAAGAUAGAAAAUGGCAGUGACAUCCACCUUUGUGCCAGGCACAGUGCCGGUACUCCAGAGCCACACAACAACUGUCUCCAACCUCACAUUCGUGCUUGUAAUUCCAGACACGCUUAAUGACGUAUAUCAAUGGUUCCUCCCCCAUACAAUGUUAAAAAAAACUUCCACUUGUAUUUUCAAUUAUGUUAUUUUUCACUUAGACAUGUCUGAAACUUCAGCAACAACAAAUCUUUAACUUAUUCCCUUCUUUUUACUUCGGGUUGAUUUUGUUACUGGUUUUUGUUUGUUUGUUUGUUUUUCUUUUUCUGUCUUCACAACAUACUGCAGGUUUGAGUCUCUCAGAGCCAGAAAGAAAUCGGUAUCAAGACGUGCUAAGAAUGUAUUGUAGUUACUAAGGAAGUGGUUUCCCAAGCAACAGUAACCACAAGAAAUUUGACAGAAUUUCUUCCUUUGCUACUAUAUCAUGUUUGAAGAUUUCAAAGAGCCAGGAUGUGGGUAGCAUAAGUGAUUUUGUCCUUGUUAAACAGAAGCAGAUACAGUAAUGUCCUUGUCCUUACUAAAGAAAGGGUUAAAUUCAGUAAGUUACAAUUUUCCUGGUAGCAGAAAAAAAUGUGGAUGUGCCAAAUAGUCCUGCAGCAUGUGGGCAGAUGCUAGAGGCAACAUUCUCAGUUGUUACAUACUCAGUGGUGAUAUUUACCAUUCAAGAAAGCCAUGCCAACACUUUGGUUUGCUCCAGACACUGGAAGAGACAUUUACCAGCUUGAUGAUGUCAAAAAGUGUAGGAAACUUGCACUUGCUUGAUAUUAGUAGAAGGAUCAGAACCAAAGGUAAUGAAGUUGCAUUGUCCUAACUUCUCUGCAGUGGUGUAAACAAAAUGGAGUCAGCUGGGCAUCAAUCAAAGAAUGCAGUGUCAUUGCUAUUCUGUUUUGAUCAAGAAAUGAAAAUAACACAGUAGAUGUUGCCCUCUGAAAGUGAAUUUAAUGCUUGUUCUUAGAAGGGAAUUGGAAACAACAGGUUCUAUGGGUUAACAAGCAGUGCAAUUUAAUAUGUUUUCUCGAUAGAAAAUGUGAAUAAUUCCUACCUGCUUCUGUGCGCUGAGGUUUAUUGAGUGGUAAGGCACCACAGAGGCACUGUUAAUAAAGAGCUCAAUCCAGCAAGACAAAGAAAGAGAUGACUCAUUUUUCAUUUGAGUUUCAGGUACUAAGAAAAUCAAAAUUUCUUUCAAAAAUUUGUCUUUAAGAAGUGAUUCUUUAUAUCCACUUCAUGUUUAUGGUGAAAUUUAAAAAAGAAAAUGUGGUGGUGUGCAUGUGAGCCAAAUCCCAAGGGAAGGUAUGUAUUGAAGGAGGUGUGUUUCCAUAUGUUAUUAAGGUUCGUGCUUUGUAGGUACACUUACAUCUUUUCUGAAAACUUAGAUUUCUGCUUUGACCAGAGUAAGAAUUUUUUUACAAUUGUACAAACUCCUACUUAUCUUCUGGAUUGCAGGUCACCAUGCAUAAUGAAACAUUUGAGCUACGGAACCUUUUAAAGUAUACGAAGAAACAAUUAUGUGUAUUAUGAAACUGUUCAGCAGUAUGGAUUGGGGCCAGCUCUGUGCAUUCCCAGAUGUAAUGGACAUAAUUGCAGGUCUCCAAGCACAGACACUGAAGUGAAUGACUGAGGGGAUUUGGGGGCUUCACUGGCUCUGGAUCUGUAUCAGCAGUGCCAGAAACAAACUGGCUCAUUAAAAGCUUUAAUCUUAUUUCACUUAUUACCCUUUCACUUAUUUCUACCUUUGUGAACUGCUUCAUGCAAAGAACUGCCUUUUUAAACCAUCUCUCAAACCCUCUUCAAGUUGCAGAACUAAUAUUCUUAGCUAACAAGCUCUUAGUUAAGUAAGUGGUUAGAAAACUUCUAAGUCCUUCAGAAGGCUUCCUUCCAACACAUCCUCCGUAGACAUACUAAUGUGUUUGUAUUUCUGUGAUGCAUUAAGACAUCUAAAAGAAUACUGCUUGUAGGCAGGUAAAUGCUAUAAUUAGAAAAAAACAAGUUGAGUCUCCAAAUAAAGUCAUCUGUUUCUUUUAAAAAUACAGUAGAUGCACUAUAAUGUAGGAACUUAAUUUAUUUAAAUAAAGUUUGUUUGUAUUCAUGCACAGAACCCAACUAAAUCAAAUGUCUGCAGCUUUUGUGCAUGCUUGCAUUUUAAGCAGUUGCAUCUAAUCAGAAUAGUUAUCAUUUUAAUAGAGCUGGCGCACAUUAAAAAGAGCAUGGAUGGGGGGAUGUUACCCUCCCCCUCUACUCUGCCCUGCUGAGGCCACAUGUAGAGUACUACGUCCGGUUCUAGACUCCUCAGUUCAAGAAAGACAGAGAGAGUCCAACAAAGGGUCAUAAAGAUGAUGGGGAACCUGGAGCAUCUCCCUUCUGAGGAAAGGCUGAGAGACCUGUGACUGUUCAGCCCAGAGAAGACUGAGAAGGAAUCUUACCAAUGCCUAUGGAUAUCUGAAGUGUGGAAGUAAGGUGGAUGGGGCCAGGCUCUUUUCAGUGGUGCCCAGUGACAGGACAAGGGGCAAAGGGCACAAACUGGAACACUAGAAGUUCCAUAUGAACUUGAGGAAAAACCUCUUUGAAAGUGACAGAGCACUGGAACAGGCUGCCUGGAGAGAUUGUGGAGUCUCCUUCUCUGGAGAUAUGCAUAUCUGCCUGGACGCCUUCCUGUAUGACCUACUGUAGGGAACUUGUUUUAUCAAGGGUGGGACUAGAAGAUGUCCAGAUGAUCUCCAGCCACAGUGAAUCUGUGAUUCUGUGUAUCACUUUAUUUAUUCAGUUUUUUUUCUUUUUCAGAGAAAGCUGCCUCUGCCCUCGAAGGCCUCUCAUUUUACCAGGAUGUAUGCAGUGGACACAGACCUGAUAAGAAAUUAUGAGGUUGCAGUUUCUACUGGAAUAAGAGUUCAAUGCAGUCACUUACCCAGACUUCACUUCAUCAUGUCUGAGCACUUACAGCUAUAACUUGUGAUCUUUCUGGUUUAUUUGGAGGCACAGCAAGCCAGCUCCUGUACACAGAGGCAUCCUUAUAUGCUUUCUAAUGUGAUGCUGCUGCGUGGGAUAUUGAGAUCACAGUGAAGGUCGCAGUGCAAAUAUUUACAUACAGAUCAGCUCCUGAGGUAUCUGACAUUUACCUGUGCAGACAAAAUUUCACAGUAUCUCCACCAUUAAUCCAGCCUACAACAGCAAUUUCCUGGCAAGUCUUAGUGUAUGACUCUCUGGAGACCCCUACAUAAAGGCUGUGAAUCUGAUUAGAUUCCAAAAUGGAAGAGCAAGACAUCUUGUUUUUGUCCAUACUCUUGAAAAUGUUAUCCUAACCCUCAAGAACAUUAAGAACAGUAAGGCUAUGAAGAGAUGGAGAAGAACAACUGAAGUUCCAUAACAAGCCAAAACUAACUGUGGACCAGGACACCUCAUUCUAGGAACAUGUAUAAAACAACAGUCCGUGUCCAGGCAAGUCUGAUGAAGGAGCCACUGAUCUUCUAGACGAGACUAGGAGUCAUCUUCAGUAGCCUAAGCCAGGAAAUGGCCUCUGGAUGGGUGGCUACUCAAGUGGAGAACACUAUGAAUAUGCAGAGAGCCCAUGGGGAAUACAGAGAGAGACUGAUCAGCAAAGAAAUCUGCUUAAGGUGUCAGAAAGCUUAUGAAAAAA
ensembl:lncRNA